GAUGAACGCUGACAGAAUGCUUAACACAUGCAAGUCAACUUGAACUUCGGUUUGGGUGGCGGACGGGUGAGUAACGCGUAAAGAACUUGCCUCACAGCUAGGGACAACAUUUGGAAACGAAUGCUAAUACCUGAUAUUAUGAUUAUAUGGCAUCGUAUAAUUAUGAAAGCUAUAUGCGCUGUGAGAGAGCUUUGCGUCCCAUUAGCUAGUUGGAGAGGUAACAGCUCACCAAGGCGAUGAUGGGUAGCCGGCCUGAGAGGGUGAUCGGCCACAAGGGGACUGAGACACGGCUCUUACUCCUACGGGAGGCAGCAGUGGGGAAUAUUGGACAAUGGACCGAGAGUCUGAUCCAGCAAUUCUGUGUGCACGAUGAAGUUUUUCGGAAUGUAAAGUGCUUUCAGUUGGGAAGAAAAAAAUGACGGUACCAACAGAAGAAGUGACGGCUAAAUACGUG
rnacentral:rRNA from 1 species